CACAGAAAUCUGCAGCCUGAGACCCUCCAAAAUCCAAAACGUCCCGAAAUCGGAAGGCUGCAAGUGAAAACUCUGUACUGUGAAACUUUGUUUCACACACAAAAUAAUUAGGAGUGUUGUGUAAAGUUACCCUCAGGCUGUAGUAUGUAAGAGGUGGCAGAAAAAUCAGUUCAGGAAGCAGCGAUGAUGUGAGGGAAAUAAGCAGCCGAGGGAGGAGAGGAGCGAGGCGGAGACAGCUCUGAGCCCUCUUGGAGCAGCUUCACUGUGUUGCUGACCCUUGCGGCGCCCCCUCAGUGGCCUGGACGUGGUCACUCCUUGCAUCCACAGUGCAGCCCCCUCCGUAGUGGCAGCAGGCAGACAGAAUGUUCACGCGCCCCUGCCUUGUACAGGGCAGGCGUCAGCAUCGGGAAAGGGGGACCUGAAAGCUGAACUGGCCGGGAAUUUCAGGAUCAUCUUCUCCAGCUCCCACCCAGCCAGGGGUCCCGCGAGCCACCCCACCUGCCUGUGGAAGCUCCCUCCAAGGAGCCACGGAAGGGCUGUGCUUGGAUGGAGGCCAUGUGUGUGGCUACCCGAAGAAUUAGCUUGAUGUUCUAAGAGCAAUGGAGAAAUUCUGCACGGGUUUUGAGUAAAAGAAAUAAGAGUAGAAGCAAAAACAGCCAUUAGAGGGAGUCAGCCAAGGGAAAGAUUUGCACCCCUCUCCUUUGCAGUAUUUCCUGCAAUGAGGCAGCUUUGGGAUGUGCACAAGUCCUCCAUCACUGAUGUUUUCUGUCUGCAAACUUCUGCCUCUGUGGUGAUGAGCUCGGCCCCCAGAACCACCCGGCGAACUCCAGCAGGCUCUGCCCCACACCCGCCUGCUGGUGAGGCAG